AUACAUUAAAUUGAUUACUUGCUCGCACCCAUAGCUUAUCAUUAAUUUACAAUUAAAAAAAAUUGAAACACAUACAGACCAGCCAUAGUUUACCAGGAUGUUUCAAUGAACUUACUAGAUUUUACAGGCCAGCAGUUUCCUCUUGUACAGAAAAGUCAAACACGUGCGGGUAAGGGCAUUCAUGAAGCUCUAAAGCAAUUUUUUCCAUGAAUUGUCAUGUAACAGCAACUUUCUUUAGAUCCCAAAUAAACAUCCAGUCGUUGGCAAGCAACGCCUCCAGACAUUUACACUCUUGAUCAAAGUUUAUUCUAGCGUCACAUCACUGUCCCAGGCCUCAAAUUAUUAAUCCUUCAUGAUACAUCGGGAGGAUAGCGAUCUCGAGUUUUCCGAAGUUUAACUCUAGUUUUCACCAAUCAUCAAGAAUUUAUGAACCAAAUAGUGCACGGAAAAAGAACCUAAUGGUUCAGAGGCUCAAAUCCAUGCAUGCAAUGAAAUCCAUGGUCACAAAUACCAAUGUCCCAGUUGAGGAAAAAGUUAUCAACUAUAUUCAUGUAGAUAAUUUUGGGGCGAGGCUGGCAAUCUUGCAUUAGAUGUAAUUUGAGUACACGAAUUGCAUCAAUAGAUCACAUUCAAAAUUAAAUCUUGUUAUACUUGACAAAAAGCAUCGCAUGCCAAAAAAAAAUGUUAUAACAAAAACAGGAAAUGCAUCACUUGUGGUGAUCUUUCUUUCAGCAUAACUUCAAGCGUAGAUUGUAAUCAAGUAAAACUGGAGAUAGGACGAGGCAGGUGCGCAAACACGUUAAUUCAAUUCCAUGGAAAAUGGGCAUAACCAACACUUAAUACCAGAUAUUGCACAACGCUUAUAACGCACCAUGAGCUGCAUGACACAAAGAAGCAGCAGAAAGAAACGGAAAACAACAUCAAUUUUUUCACAAAAAAGCUAGGAUAUGCGGUAACGAAUCGAAAUUAGUAAAAUAUACUAGAGCACAAGCUUCUCUUAACUUUCCCACUAAAUUCUCUCAAUGCACUGAGAGAAAUUAUCUAGAAGGGCACUUCGAGAAAAUGUCAAUGACUUGAUUAUUUGAUUGUUGCGAGUAAUUCUAUAUGCAUGAAAUUCAGCACUUCCAAAAUCAAUUUGCGUCGGUCAUCCUGUUUCCCUAAAAAACCGACAAACCCUACAAACAAAACUGGUAUUUCAUCCACUUUUUUCAUGAAUUUAAUUGAUAUAUGAACUUCCACCGAUUCAUGGGCUCACAACAAAUAAUAAUAGUAAAAAUAUUUAAACCAUCAAAUGUAAGAAAUGUGAGAUGGAAUCAGUAGACAAAGCGGGAAAAAGGACCCGUCAUCUGUGGAUACCAUCCCUACGGUUGUCUGGCCGCUGCCUAAUUACCUCACCAUUUUCCAAACAACAAAUUUUCUGCUAUUGGAAAACAAGUAAAGUAAUCAGACUUUCUAUAUCGCACAGUUGUUAAAUGAGAAAACUAAACCAAAAAUCUGUUUUCCCAUAACGAAAACAACAGAUGCAAAUCAAAAUGCUUAUAAAAAAACUAAGUGAACGAAAAAACUCAAAUAUCUAAUGAAUUUGACAUGCGGGCUCAUAUCAAGUGUAAGAUUUAAAAGGCCUGUCAUUGUGGAAAAACCCAAAAAGCGUGAACGGUUGAAAAAAUGAGAAAAAAGGGA